UGGCCCCUUCCGGCUUUGCCCUUGUAAUCUUGUUCCAGUUUCUGAACAAUGUCCAAAAAAGGAAGGCCUGCUGGUAGGCGGAGCUGGAUUUUAUGGGAAAAGCCAACCCUCUUGUCGGGCCACUCCCGGUGAAAUUGAGACUUGAAGCUGCGAUGGCGCUUAAACGGUACAAUAAGGCAGAAUGCCACGCCGACCGACUUCGACAGCGGAAGCACGACCUCGAUGGGCAAGCGCGAGCGCUACUGCAGGAAUGGGUUGAUCGUCAGGCCGAGAAGGCGCCUGCAAGAGAGCUGGACGCGGUUGCAGCCCGGUAUCGGAUAAUUGU
rnacentral:sRNA from 1 species